GAUGAACGCUGGCGGCGUGCCUAAUACAUGCAAGUCGAGCGAACGGACGAGAAGCUUGCUUCUCUGAUGUUAGCGGCGGACGGGUGAGUAACACGUGGAUAACCUACCUAUAAGACUGGGAUAACUUCGGGAAACCGGAGCUAAUACCGGAUAAUAUUUUGAACCGCAUGGUUCAAAAGUGAAAGACGGUCUUGCUGUCACUUAUAGAUGGAUCCGCGCUGCAUUAGCUAGUUGGUAAGGUAACGGCUUACCAAGGCAACGAUGCAUAGCCGACCUGAGAGGGUGAUCGGCCACACUGGCACUGAGACACGGUCCAGACUCCUACGGGAGGCAGCAGUAGGGAAUCUUCCGCAAUGGGCGAAAGCCUGACGGAGCAACGCCGCGUGAGUGAUGAAGGUCUUCGGAUCGUAAAACUCUGUUAUUAGGGAAGAACAUAUGUGUAAGUAACUGUGCACAUCUUGACGGUACCUAAUCAGAAAGCCACGGCUAACUCCGUG
rnacentral:rRNA from 1 species